UAAAGGAAGGAAGAACUGUCUCUGAGUAUACGAUGUGGAAUAUUUUACAGUGGGAAGGUGCAUUAUGGGAAUUGGAAGUUCCUGGAGUCAGUGGUGACAGAGGAGAAGCCCGAAAGCAUGACACUCAUUUAACCAUUCAGGAUUUUUGGGGGCUUCCAUCUGUUAGCACUUCCUCAAAUAUUGUCACGAGUGACCCAGGCAGGGAGACGAGGAGGCGGACACAAAUGCAGGGUCAUGCUAGUGGUCCAGAGGGAGGCUAAUCCCAAUGAUUUCCCAGCUUGGCAAGAUCUGUGUGGGUCAAGACGUGACCGGUCCUGG
rnacentral:lncRNA from 1 species